UGCUGCUUCUCAGAAGUGGGGGUUUUCUAGAAAGGCAGUACUCUUUCCCAGGCUGAUGGGUAGAGGACAUGGAAUGAGGCCAAGAAGAGAGUCAGCAGGCUUGCAAACAGCUUUACAUCAAAAUGGAUCUAGAAAAUCAACACAGAUCAAUCCCUCCAGCAGGGAUGAGAUCAGAAAGAUGUACUGGAAAAGAAAGUGAGACCUCAUCUUCACCUUAUGUUUUGGAAUAAUAGGGGCCAGCUGGAGGGGAAGUUUGAAAUGAACGACAGUGGCAUUGCAUCUCUCGACUGCUGAUUUAUAAACACUCUUGAUCAUAGAAAACAGACAUGAAGAUUUCUAUUAAUGUGCAAUUUGAAGGAGACUGUACAAUUGAAGAAGCAAACUGUAUACUCCAUUUUGAAUAUGGGCCUUAUCUGCAUUUUCUGCAAUUUUUUGCUUCCUAGGAAAGAGAUGAGCUACAGAACAAUAUUAAUACCAAAAUAAAUGAGCAGAAACUGCUCAUGAAUGCUUUGUGCCUGAAAAUUAGAACAGAAUUUCAAUUGAGUUUCUAGCUGUUACAGCGGUGAGGCUAUGGAACGAUCUCACCAUAGUAUGGUAAGCCCAAAAUCUAAUACACAUUCACACAUGUAUGUUUAUAUGUUAAAA